AGCAGCCACCCUUUAAAGAAAGCGUAAUAGCUCACUAGUCGAGUCGGCCUGCGCGGAAGAUGUAACGGGGCUCAAACCAUACACCGAAGCUACGGGUAUCACCUUCGGGUGAUGCGGUAGAGGAGCGUUCUGUAAGCCUGUGAAGGUGAGUUGAGAAGCUUGCUGGAGGUAUCAGAAGUGCGAAUGCUGACAUGAGUAACGAUAAUGGGUGUGAAAAACACCCA
rnacentral:rRNA from 14 species